rnacentral:SRP_RNA from 1 species
GGCGGUGGCGCGUGCCUGUAGUCCCAGCUACUCGGGAGGCUGAGCCCGCCGGAUCGCUUGAGCCCAGGAGUUCUGGGCUGCAGUGCGCUCUGCCGAGCCGGCAUCAAUACGGUGAGUGCCGGGGAGCCGGGGGACACCCAGUUGGCUAAGGAGGGGUGAACCGGCCGGGUCGGAGACGGAGCAGGUCAGAGCUCCCGUGCCGGUCAGUGGCGGGAUCGCGCCUGUGAAUAGCCACUGCAGCUUAGCCUGGGCAACGCAGAGAGACGCGGGUUCCU